CAGGCCGAGGGCGCUCCGCGGGGGCGUGCGCGGCUCGCGCGUGCGAGGCCCGGCAGCACCUUCCCCGCCUGGCGUCUGUUUACCAACAAACUGCCAGCGCCGGGCAGCUACGCAUUCCGACGCGCUGAAUAAGCUGCGGGCGCAGGCGGGCGGCUCCCGGCUCCUCUGCAGGUCCGAGGCAGCAGAACCAGAACCAGCUCGAACCCCGACCGCGGGCAGCAAGAACGCAAUCCCCUGCGUCUCCGCCUCCUCGGCCCGCUGCGCUGCUCCCUUCGCCCAUGGGCGACCCAGACCCACCAACUGUCCAGCACAUGUGCCAUUUCCACCGAGGUCCCCUGACGGCACCAAUCACCCUGCAACUUCGGCACCGUUCGUGGAGCGGACCCGGAGACAGACGCGCCCGGAGCUCGUGCAGCGCACCCCUCCCCUUUCCCCGCACGCGCUACCCCGGGGGGCGGGUCCCAGCUGCAGGCCUCGGCCGGCGACCCUAGAAGACUCCUACCUGUCCUGCCAGCAACCUGCGGCGCCUUCACAGCCCCCUUCGCGGCCCCGCUGAGCUCCCACAGGAACCGGAGGCAGUUGUGUGAAGCCGGGCUGGAGGGCUCCCUACCCCACCCUCUCGGAGGAGCGGAAAGUUGUGUGUACCGACGUAUAACGGAAAACGGCACCAAUCCAGAUGUGGGGGUGGGGGCCCUGCCCUUCCUCCGGGUUCUCCCCAUCCUGCACGCUCCCCUUCCCUUUGUCCCCCCUCUGCGAAUUCAUCUGGUCUGGAAAAGCAGUGCUCAGGCCAAACCCUGCUAAAUAGAAAUCAGGUCCCUGCUGAAGGGCUGUAGACGUGGAGGCGGGGCUCUUUCAUCUUCUUCCCGGGCCCCACCCCCUUCCCCUGAAGGUGCCUGACUUUGACAGGAAGUUGGCCAGGCCCAGUCUGGGAGUAGGACCCACCACCCAUUGUUCAAAGAACAGAGCCGCAGGCUGGUCCGGCAGUCUCUAAUCUUUCCCUGGCCACCUGAGCCUUCCAUCAAAGGAACGGGCCACGCCCACCAACUCUACCCUUGAUUGGGGGCUCUCGGCCCUUGCAGAUCCACUUUCUCGGAGUGGGGACAGGAAAGAAGAUUUUAGGGAAUUUCCUCCACCCCCACCCCCAACGUUAAUUGCCCGUGGCAAAACUGGAGCUGCCUCUCCCAGACUUCUGGUUCUGUUUGGAGCAGGGGCAGUUGGGGGGUUUCCUAUAAAUGAAUCCCUUGGACUCUUAUAAGUAAGUGCUAAUUGGGUGUCAGCGCGCACAUUCACGCAGGCGCGUGCGUUUGGGGGCACGUUUGAGGUGCGGGGUGGGAAGAACCUGACCUUCCCUCCGAGAACUGUUGGCGAUGGGAUGGGUUCCUCUGGCCAGUCUUCACCCCUCCGUGCCCUCCCUCUGGUUGUCUAAGGGGUCCCUCGUGGGGAUUCCAUUUCUUUAGUUUACCCGGAUCCAACGAAAAGCCACGCACACGUCCGCACGAUAGACCGUAACAUCUCUAUAUUGGAACUGGGGCGCUCAGCCCACUCUAGAGUGAACGAUUGGGGUGUGAGAGGGAUUGGGGUUCACCUCCGCCCGAGGGACGAGUUUGGCCAAAACCCCUUGGAGCCGGUGGGUGCGGCGGCGCCUGGAGGGAGGCCCUGAGGUUAGGUUAUCGAGACCAGAGCUGAUCCAGUUGUGACUUGCUGUAACUGGUGUGCAGAAAGGCAGCUGUCCCGGGAGGAACUUGGGGGGGUUCCGCUCUGAGAUUGAGGCGCAAAGGCUCGGAGUGCUCAGCCCGCGGCUCUGGGCGUCACUGCUGGAAUUGCGCGCUCUGCGCAGCCAGAGGCGCGGGCGGGCGCUCGGCUGCCGGCCCGAGGCUGCUCGCAGUGGAGUCGGAGCUGGGGAGGCCGGACAGGCGCGGGCGGGAUCGGAAACCCAAGGGCUUUUCUGGGAAUCGGCAAGGGUCGAGGUGGGGGGGAGGGAUCUGAGAAACCCGCAGCGCCCGAGGCCCCGAGUGAGGGAUGCGGGGGAGGCGAAGGCGACGGGCGACUGUGGCUGGCCCAGGGCCGGACCCUGACUUGAGUGUGGAGUGAGCCCGACUAGAGAGUGGGCAGGAGGCGCGCCUGGGCUCUGGCCGUUCUCUUGUCGUCUGGGGUCUGCAGGCUGACCCACGCCCGCGGGUAAUCCGGCCGCUUGGGACUCGCGCAGGGGCCAAAUAGAAUGGCUCGGGUUGGGGCCCCUUGGCCUCCACCUUCGAUGCCUAUUCUAGGUCCCAGCGCCCGUUCCGGGGAGUCCUGGAGAGCGAGGCCUGAAGGAGGGAAGGAGGGGACCACAUCUGCUCUUCCAGUCCCAAUAACCCUGCCUAACGCGGGAACCCACUGUGCCGGGUGGGCAAGUGUAGGACAGGACAGCCCCACACUGAUCUGGCUUUUGGGGCCGCAACAAAUAUCCCCUCUGCACCUGGUGGGGAGGACAGGGGAGAAAAUUCCGGGGUCAGUUCUCACCCUCUGAGGCCUUUCGCACACUCUGGCCUGUGAACAUUGCUUUCCAGGUCCCUGCACUGCGAAUGCCCAGAGCUUUUCCCCACCAACCCCAAGCCACUACACUGGAGCAGAUCCUGGGCACCCUCGCUCUUGACCCUUGGCACUUUCUGCAUUCAGAGCCCCAAAAUGGGAGCUCCCUGGGGAAAGGAACAAACGGCCUUGUAUCACUGGGUGCAGCCUGAAGGUGGAGGUUGAAAAGCCAGAGAAAGGCAGGGGCCAGGCUGCACUUACUGCUUGCUCAUUCUUCCCUGGGACACAGACCAGGUGAAGAUGAGGCUAUGGGCACCCCUGUCCUACCCUACACACACCCUCCUUAUGCUGUCCCCAG
ensembl:lncRNA